GACGAACGCUGGCGGCGUGCUUAACACAUGCAAGUCGAACGAAGUGGCGAACGGGUGAGUAAUACGUGGGUAACCUGCCCUCCUUUUUGGGAUAAGCCUUGGAAACGGGGUCUAAUACCGAAUAAAGGGGGAUGGGCUCGCGGCCUAUCAGCUUGUUGGUGGGGUGAUGGCCUACCAAGGCGGUGAUGGGUAGCUGGCCUGAGAGGGUGACCGGGCACAGUGGGACUGAGAUACGGCCCAGACUACGAAGGGGGGCAGCAGUGGGGAAUAUUGCACAAUGGGUGAAAGCCUGAUGCAGCGACGCCGCGUGGGGGAUGAAGGCUUUCGGGUUGUAAACCUCAUUCGCUAGCGAACGGGUAGGUGGAGAAGAAGCGCCGGCUAACUACGUGCCAGCAGCCGCGGUAAUUC
rnacentral:rRNA from 1 species